UACGUAGGGUGCAAGCGUUGUCCGGAAUUAUUGGGCGUAAAGAGCUCGUAGGCGGUCUGUCGCGUCGGCUGUGAAAACUCGGGGCUUAACCCCGAGCCUGCAGUGGAUACGGGCAGACUAGAGGUAGGUAGGGGGAGAAUGGAAUUCCCGGUGUAGCGGUGAAAUGCGCAGAUAUCGGGAGGAACACCGGUGGCGAAGGCGGUUCUCUGGGCCUUACCUGACGCUGAGGAGCGAAAGCGUGGGGAGCGAACAGG
rnacentral:rRNA from 1 species